rnacentral:rRNA from 1 species
GUGGGGAAUAUUGGACAAUGGGCGAAAGCCUGAUCCAGCCAUGCCGCGUGUGUGAAGAAGGUCUUCGGAUUGUAAAGCACUUUAAGUUGGGAGGAAGGGUAGUAACCUAAUACGUUGCUACUUUGACGUUACCGACAGAAUAAGCACCGGCUAACUUCGUGCCAGCAGCCGCGGUAAUACGAAGGGUGCAAGCGUUAAUCGGAAUUACUGGGCGUAAAGCGCGCGUAGGUGGUUCGUUAAGUUGGAUGUGAAAGCCCCGGGCUCAACCUGGGAACUGCAUCCAAAACUGGCGAGCUAGAGUACGGUAGAGGGUGGUGGAAUUUCCUGUGUAGCGGUGAAAUGCGUAGAUAUAGGAAGGAACACCAGUGGCGAAGGCGACCACCUGGACUGAUACUGACACUGAGGUGCGAAAGCGUGGGGAGCAAACAGGAUUAGAAACCCCUGUAGUCC